CAAUAGCGUAUAUUAAAGUUGUUGCGGUUAAAAAGCUCGUAGUUGGAUUUCGGGUGGGACGCAGCGGUCUCGCAUUGCGUUUGUACUGCUGCAGCCCUCCUUCUUGCCGGGGGCGGCCUCUCGGACUUCACUGUCUGGGGGUCAGAAUCGGCGAUGUUACUUUGAGUAAAUUAGAGUGUUCAAAGCAAGCUUACGCUCUGAAUAUAAUAGCAUGGGAUAACACGACAGGACUCUGGCCUAUCGUGUUGGUCUAUAGGACCAGAGUAAUGAUUAAGAGGGACAGUCGGGGGCAUUCGUAUUCCGUUGUCAGAGGUGAAAUUCUUGGAUUUACGGAAGACGAACAUCUGCGAAAGCAUUUGCCAAGGAUGUUUUCAUUAA
rnacentral:rRNA from 1 species